rnacentral:lncRNA from 1 species
AGAAUGGCGUGAACCCUGGAGGCGGAGCUCGCAGUGAGCGGAGACCGUGCCACUGCACUCCAGCCUGGGCGACAGAGCGAGACUCUGUCUCAAAAAAAAAAAAAAGUGCAGACUCCCAAAGACAGAUGUGAAGAGGUCCAGUGAUUUGAAUGGACAAACAGCUGCAGCCACUGCAUGACCCUAGGACCCAGAUCCCCCACAGGCUUUGAGAAGAUGACCCCAAGUCAAGCCGAGCGCAUAUGAGAGCAGUGGAGAAAGAGCUCUGUUUCUGUCUUCAAGAGGGCAUACUGCAUAUUUCCCAGAGACAAAAGGGAGCAUCGAACCCAAUGCCAGUUUGCUAACAGAGCCUUCCAUAUGCAAGCACCAGAGUUCUAUGCUUCACCAGGGGUUUAGGUCAAGGAGAGCAGGUGCGGAUGAGGUUCCAGGAGGAAGACACUCACAUGGAUGCUUUUCUUUUUCUACCUAGAGACAAUGGGUGUUUUCUCACUGGGUUUUAUAACAGGGAAGCAAAAUAGCCCUUGAGAAAAGUGCAAUGAAACAACUGCGAACACAAAGAUAUAUGUCGGCUGAAGUACAGUGGUGCAGCCUCCACCUCCUGAGCUCAAGUGAUAAGACAUAAAUAAGGUUCCAAUUAUAUCAAAGAUGCCAAUAUAUCAUAAUGACAGAAAAAUAAGGGAACCUAACCCUGGCUCACUCUCAGAACAUUUGACUCCACUGGUGGUAGAAUAACUCAAGAAUGACUAAACCUAUAAUUCAAGGAGGAGCCUAGGACCUAUCCAGAUGAUAAAGACACAGUUUUCAACCUGAGGUAACAUGAACUCAAAAGGAAGGGUAGAAGACUGGC